rnacentral:rRNA from 1 species
AUGCCUGUACCAUAACCGACACAGGUGGGUAAGUAGAGUAUACUAAGGGGCGCGAGAUAACUCUCUCUAAGGAACUCGGCAAAAUAACUCCGUAACUUCGGGAGAAGGAGUGCCUUAUUCUUAAGGUUGCAAUAACAAGAUCCAAGCAACUGUUUAUCAAAAACACAGGUCUCCGCUAAGUCGUAAGACGAUGUAUGGGGGCUGACGCCUGCCCAGUGCCAGAAGGUUAAAGAAGUCGGUUAGCAAUAGCAAAGCUGGUAACUGAAGCCCUGGUGAACGGCGGCCGUAACGAUAACGGUCCUAAGGUAGCGAAAUUCCUUGUCGGGUAAGUUCCGACCCGCACGAAAGGCGUAAUGAUUUGGAUGCUGUCUCGGAGAGGGGCUCGGUGAAAUAGACUUGUCUGUGAAGAUGCGGACUACCUGCACCAGGACAGAAAGACCCUAUGAAGCUUUACUGUAACUUGAAAUUGAAAUUGGACUUUAUUCGCGCAGUAUAGGUGGGAGGCGUUGAUUAUAAUCUUGUGGUAUUAUUGGAGCCAUCAGUGAGAUACCACUCUUGUAAUGUUAGAUUUCUAACUUUGAAUCAUUAUCUGGUCAAAGGACAGUUUCAGGCGGGCAGUUUGACUGGGGCGGUCGCCUCCUAAACGGUAACGGAGGCGUACAAAGGUUUCCUCUGAACGGUUAGAAAUCGUAUCUAGAGUGUAAAGGCAUAAGGAAGCUUGACUGUGAGACCUACAAGUCGAGCAGGGACGAAAGUCGGUCUUAGUGAUCUGACGGUACUGAGUGGAAAGGCCGUCACUCAACGGAUAAAAGUUACUCUAGGAUAACAGGCUGAUCUCCCCCAAGAGUUCACAUCGACGGGGAGGUUUGGCACCUCGAUGUCGGCUCAUCGCAUCCUGGGGCGGUAGUACGUCCCAAGGGUUGGGCUGUUCGCCCAUGAAAGCGGUACGCGAGCUGGGUUCAGAACGUCGUGAGACAGUUCGGUCCAUAUCCGGUGUAGGCGCUAGAAUAUUGAGAGGAGCCUUCUUUAGUACGAGAGGACCGAGAAGGACAUACCUCUGGUGUACCAGUUAUCGUGCCAACGGUAAACGCUGGGUAGCUAUGUAUGGAGUGGAUAACCGCUGAAAGCAUCUAAGUGGGAAGCCCACCUCAAGAUAAGUAUUCUCAUCACGUAAGUGAGUAAGGUCACGGUAAGACUAACCGUUUGAUAGGCAUUAAGUGUAAGUACAGUAAUGUAUGUGCUGAGAUGUCCUAAUAGACCGAGGACUUGAA